UACGGGGGGGGCAAGCGUUGUUCGGAAUUACUGGGCGUAAAGCGUGCGCAGGCGGCUUGGCAAGACAGAUGUGAAAUCCCCGGGCUUAACCUGGGAACUGCAUUUGUGACUGCAUGGCUGGAGUGCGGCAGAGGGGGAUGGAAUUCCGCGUGUAGCAGUGAAAUGCGUAGAUAUGCGGAGGAACACCGAUGGCGAAGGCAAUCCCCUGGGCCUGCACUGACGCUCAUGCACGAAAGCGUGGGGAGCAAACAGG
rnacentral:rRNA from 1 species